rnacentral:rRNA from 1 species
GACGAACGCUGGCGGCGUGCUUAACACAUGCAAGUCGAACGGAAAGGCCCUGCUUUUGUGGGGUGCUCGAGUGGCGAACGGGUGAGUAACACGUGAGUAACCUGCCCUUGACUUUGGGAUAACUUCAGGAAACUGGGGCUAAUACCGGAUAGGAGCUCCUGCUGCAUGGUGGGGGUUGGAAAGUUUCGGCGGUUGGGGAUGGACUCGCGGCUUAUCAGCUUGUUGGUGGGGUAGUGGCUUACCAAGGCUUUGACGGGUAGCCGGCCUGAGAGGGUGACCGGCAACAUUGGGACUGAGAUAAGGCCCAGACUACUACGGGAGGCAGCAGUGGGGAAUAUUGCACAAUGGGCGGAAGCCUGAUGCAGCAACGCCGCGUGCGGGAUGACGGCCUUCGGGUUGUAAACCGCUUUCGCCUGUGACGAAGCGUGAGUGACGGUAAUGGGUAAAGAAGCACCGGCUAACUACGUG